rnacentral:sRNA from 1 species
GAAGGGCCUGGGUACCCUAUGAUGGCCCUCCUACAGGGUAUGGAAGGCUGGGAGGAGUGGGAAGGAUUCGGAAAAGGGCCUGGGUACCGGCUCCACUGGUGGCUCAGCGCUGGGGUGCUGAGACAUCAGAGCCAACACUCAUCCCUUCUCUGGGGCAGGAGAUCCAGUGAACCUGCUCCGGUGCCAGGAAGGUGAGGCAGCCCUUGCAGGAACCAGGAACUUGGGAUCACAUGGUGUUGGGUGUUGGCAGACCCCCAAGUGUGGCCAAGAUCCUCCCCACAGCCUCCUCAGAACCCUUCUUCAGGGACCUGAAGGAGCCAAGAGGGUCCCUAGGGUCCCAUACUUGUUCCAGUGCCUGGGGGUGGGGGUCAGGGAAUAACCUGGGCACCACCCCCAGUCCAUCUCCCCUUUCCCAGGCCCCAGAAACUGCCAGGAGCUGUUGAGCCAGGGCGCCACCUUGAGCGGCUGGUACCAUCUGUGCCUACCUGAGGGCAGGGCCCUCCCAGUCUUUUGUGACAUGGACACCGAGGGGGGUGGCUGGCUGGUGUUUCAGAGGCGCCAGGAUGGUUCUGUGGAUUUCUUCCGCUCUUGGUCCUCCUACAGAGCAGGUUUUGGGAACCAAGAGUCUGAAUUCUGGCUGGGAAAUGAGAAUUUGCACCAGCUUACUCUCCAGGGUAACUGGGAGCUGCGGGUAGAGCUGGAAGACUUUAAUGGCAACUGUACUUUCGCCCACUAUGCGACCUUCCGCCUCCUCGGUGAGGUAGACCACUACCAGCUGGCACUGGGCAAGUUCUCAGAGGGCACUGCAGGUGAGUGAGCCUAAGGGGAGCAGAGGAAGGAGGCUGGAUCCUUUCCCAGUGCUGCCACUGCCCCCAUGAAUGACCCAGGGCAAUCCUGUCUCCUCUGUGGGCCUUAGUUUCCGCAUCUGAGAA